AUACGGAAGGUCCGGGCGUUAUCCGGAUUUAUUGGGUUUAAAGGGAGCGCAGGCGGAGAUGCAAGCGUGACGUCAAAUUUCGGGGCUCAACCCCGUCUCGCGUCGCGAACUGCGUCCCUUGGUUGCGGGAAGGGGAGGCGGAACUCGUGGUGUAGCGGUGAAAUGCAUAGAUAUCACGAAGAACUCCGAUCGCGAAGGCAGCCUUCCGGCCCGUCAACGACCCUCAUGCUCGAAGGUGCGGGUAUCAAACAGGAUUAGAUACCCUGGUAGUCCGCACAGUAAACGAUGGACACCCGCGGUUUGGCCUGUAUGGCUGAGCCGCCAAGCGAAAGCGUUAAGUGUCCCACCUGGGGAGUACGCCGGCAACGGUGAAACUCAAAUGAAUUGACGGGG
rnacentral:rRNA from 1 species